rnacentral:piRNA from 1 species
UACGACAAUUUGCUAGGAGAAGCA